rnacentral:lncRNA from 1 species
UUUCAUUACCGACUACUACUACCGUUUGAACUGUUCACGGGUGACGGUAAUUUCGAGAUUUCACGAGACUGCAUGUUCUAAUCAUGUUUCACAAUAGCAACGACAACGUAGGUGCUGCAAUGGCGUGCGUGGCCACUGAUCAACUUCAUUGUGGCAAUAAAUAUAAAAUGUAUGGAUUUGAGAAGAUACAGAUUUGACAAGAGAACCAUUUAAUGUAAUGAAAGAAACCACACCAUAUCACAGCAUGAAGCCGCCAGGCAGCUAAUGCAGCAGCCAUAACAAUUUCAAUUGCAAGGAUCUCGCCGGUCC